UUAAUUGAAGAGUUUGAUCAUGGCUCAGAUUGAACGCUGGCGGCAGGCUUAACACAUGCAAGUCGAGCGGUAGCACAGGGGAGCUUGCUCCCUGGGUGACGAGCGGCGGACGGGUGAGUAAUGUCUGGGAAACUG
rnacentral:rRNA from 1 species